rnacentral:tRNA from 3 species
GGGCCUGUAGCUCAGGGGAUAGAGCAACGGCCUCCUAAGCCGUAGGUCGCCCGUUCGAAUCGGGCCAGGCCCGCCA